rnacentral:rRNA from 1 species
CAGCAGUUCAAGUUGCAUCCCUUUUUAUUUGGCCUAAAGCGUCCGUAGCUGGUUAAUUAAAUCUCUUGUGAAAUCGUUGAGCUUAACUCAACGGCGUGCAGGAGAGACUGGUUAGCUAGAGACCGGGAGGAGUCAGAGGUAUGCUGGGGGGAGCGGUAAAAUGCUAUAAUCCUCGGUAGACCACCUGUGGCGAAGGCGUCUGACUAGAACGGGUCUGACAGUGAGGGACGAAAGCCAGGGGAGCAAACCGGAUUAGAGACCCGAGUAGUCC